UGAGCAAUCUGCCCUUCUCAUCGGAAUAAGCGUUGGAAACGACGACUAAUGCCGAAUACGACCUCCUUUCGCAUGAUCGGAGGUGGAAAGCUCCGGCGGAGAAGGAUGAGCUCGCGGCCUAUCAGCUAGUUGGUGUGGGUAAUGGCCCACCAAGGCGACGACGGGUAGCCGGCCUGAGAGGGUGACCGGCCACACUGGGACUGAGACACGGCCCAGACUCCUACGGGAGCAG
rnacentral:rRNA from 1 species